CUCUGCUGGGUGGAAUGUCACUGAAGACGACAUCUAGAUGUUUAAAUAGGUAGUAAGGACUGCAGUCUUGUUUCAGUGUGGGUCUUAGGUCUCUGAUUGGUAUAGUAUGAAGCACACUGUAGACAGGCUUUGACAACUUGUUUGGUCAAUGUCAGCAACAACCAGGUCACCAAAUGUCUUUGCAACAAAUCUUGUAGGGUAAGUUUCCAGACAGGUUGUUCCAAGAGAUGACCAGAUUAGGGUAGAAUUGUCAUCUCAAGAGUUACUAUUUCAUGUCUGUGGUAACCAGCUAGCCUCCUGGUUUUCAGUAGCCCCUUCUUCAGUUGUUCUUUUUCUUCCUUCUGGCUUUCUGUGGUAAUGUGUCCCCAUGGACUCCAGAUAGAGAAUGUCCUUUUGUGUAUGUUUACCGCGUUGGCUGUUGAAUAAAGUACUGUUGGCCAAUGAAGGAGCAAGUGAGGCAGGACGAGGAGUCAAGGAGGAUUCUCUGAAAUGUAGUAAAGAAGUGUUGGGAUCCAGGCAGGAAGUGACUGCUCUGCAGUCGCCAUGUGACCGCCAGGAAGACAGGACCCAUUCUGCUUGCGUCCUGCAUAAGAGAAGUCUUAUGAUUAUGGCUGAUGAUUGAGACUGAACUAGUGUAAUGGAGUCAGAACUGGGAUGACCCCAUGCCUCGAGGUUCCCAGAGGAACAGGGGAACCUGCUGCUGUGAGCCUCCAGUCACUGCAAGCCAGGAGCUGCCAUUCGCCACAGGCCGCCAGGCGCCACGAGCCACCUUCCCAGGACUGAUCAAGUGGAGAAAGAACCCCGGGCAGCUGGGGUAAUGUUACAAACUUCCGUGUAAACUUCACAAAAGCUUAAAAAGGGAUUUUUUGGAAUCAAAGGAACAGAGACAAGCAUGACUCUUGUUAGCAUCAUUUUCUUGGGUGGUCUCUCUUUUGCUAAAGACAAGCAGAGACUCGAGCAGUACCUUUAAGAGAGGUUUCCUGACUCAGCCUAAGAGGGAGAAAAAACGCAGGGCUCUUUGUAAGAGGCCCGGCUAGCUCAUUCGUAGAGCAUGAGACUCUUAAUGUCAGGGCUGUGAGUUUGUGCCCCAUGUAGCCGGCAGUGGAAGUGACCACAUCUCCAAGCCGGCAGCAUGCUCCUUGGUUGCAGCAUAUACCAAGGCAGUGAGCAUAGCUCUCAGAGCUGAUGGUAAAGGUACCUCCAACGUCUGGGAAAGACAGCAGCUAAGAAAGCCGCCACUUUAAUUUUGGCGGUGGUUUAACAGUUAAAAGACUGUGUGUCCAGAAAAACGGUAAAGAUUUACAAUAAAAACAGAUGAAGAAAACCCUCUAAAGGUUUGCAUUGUAUUUAAAAGUAUAUGUAGGCUUGUGAGAGAAUUAGAAACCGGAGGAAUUGGAGUAGCUGGGUGUGGUGGCACACGCCUUUAAUCCCAGCACUCCAGAAGCAGAGGCAGGCAGAUGUCCACAGAGAAUCCCUAUCUCAGGACAAAAGAAACAAAAAAGUAGAAGAAAUAGAAUAAUAAAAAGCCAUAUAAAGAUGGAAAAAACUCACAGUCUGGACACUAUAUGCUGUCUUUAAAUUGUUUGAGUGCUGAGGAAAGAGCUUCAGCUCUUCCAAUAUAUUUGAUUAUCAAUGCUGCUAAAUUAAUCCAAUUUAUAUAUUUUAAAGAUGCUUUGACUUCAAAAUUUAUGUCUAAGGACAGGCUACUUGGAAAAAGAUUUCUUGCUUUUGUUUUCAUAGCAAAUGAAAAGCUGUGGAUUCCUUCCAGACUAAUAGGAUUUGAUUAGGCCAGACCCCACGAAGCAGUGAUCCAAUUGAUCCUAUAUCCAAAACAGAUGAGAUGAUGCAGUCAUAGACCACUAUAGCCAGGAUUUCUGUGUUUUAUCAUGACCCCCAUGGUAUGGACAUUGCCCCCAGCCAGCAGGAUGCAGUUUGGAAUGAACAACGCCCAAAUUCCCAAAUAUUCUUCAUAAAUGUUUGUUUUCAUUUAAAUGUGGUUGGUUAUAAAUGGCAAUGACCGCAGUCAAUCUCCUUUUAAAGAAAAAGAGGGAAAUAGGAUACAGGAAUGUAUACUUUGCAUUGGUAUGGAUUCUCAUUUAUUGAUACAAAUAUAAAGUCAAUUUUGUGACAUGUAUAUUUCUCCUCUUGUUUAGGUAUUAUGUCUAUACUGAUCUUUUAAAAUGUAA
rnacentral:lncRNA from 1 species